UUCUUAUACAUGCACAGGAAGAUGAAGCUACUGGAUGAAGUAACUGACUAGUAGAGAAUCCACUCAGUAAUUCAAAGUGAAUCAUUUUAAGACCAUGCUUACGUACAUCUCCUCUAGGCAAAGCACUUGUUCAACACGUCAGGAAGUGCCUCAGCAUUGUCAACUACAUACAAGCAGACACACUAUGACUGGAGUAAAAGUUGCUUUGUAAGUUAAAAAAAACAACCCCACCACCAACAGAAAAAUUCUCUGCUGUUCCUGAUGUAAGAGAAAAUCUUGCUGCUCCUACUCAGGUGUCUCCAGAGCAGAGACAGCAGAAGCAAAGGCAUGCUCUUACCACAGCUGCUGCACUUCAGAACUUGCUGCUUCAACUGAAAAGAUCUAUCAGGCUGCAACUCCUGUAACUGAAAUACAUAAGAGUUUGUCCCAUUUACAGGUUUGCAAAUCCUUAGCAGAAGGAUCACACUAUGAGCUGGGGAAUCAGUACAGAGGGUCAGAAAUAUCCUAAAAAGGUAAUCUGUGCAGGCAAGCUCUAACUUUUAUAUAUAUAGGAUGAUCAGAACAGGCAGGGACUGACUGAUUUAUGGUAUACAACUCCAUUACUGCAGAAUAUGCGUGGCCAAUUUUGAAAUAGAAAUCUUGCAUAAAGCUAGUCAUGCUCUCUCAAAGCACAUUUUCUCUCAGAAAAAACAAAGAACAUACAGAACUGGUGGGAAAAAUUUGACCAAAAACCAAUGCCAAACAUGUGUGCGUAUGUAUAUAUAUAUAUAUACACAUACACACAUACAAACUCACUGGAUUUUAAUAACUGGUUUAUUUCAGUUAAUUCUGUAUCACAGUAUUCACUAAUGCGUUUUCCUUUCACUUCACAGAAGAGGAGCUACUCUACCUGCUUUAAAAUCAGUGGGGUUAAGAACCAGCAGUUAUUUCCUCAAAGGCAGUAUCUAGCAAUAUCCUACUACUGUAGGACCUGCCUUAUCGCUUUCAACUUCAUAUUAAAACUGUUCUCCAGUGUCUCAAAUACAUCAUCACAAACCAGUGUAAGUUCAUCUACAUUAGAGAGUUCUAUCGGCUCCUUCAAGUUGACCAGACUGCAUAUCUUCAUACUGCUGAUCAGUAAAAAUACGUAUGUGAAAGCCUGCAGUGCAGACACAACUACACUAGGCUACAAAGUCAGGUAGCACUGAGGUUCUUUCUGAAACUGGUAAAUGUACUUACAAAACUUAAACCAAAGCUGGCUCUAAAUGUCAGUAUUAAUGGACUCAAGCAUGUCAGAGUGGUGGCUGAAGAAUCGUAACUAUUCCAAGAGUCAUGAAUGGCUGACAGGAAACAAAAGUCGCCCCCCAAAAAGCAUCAGCACUCUGUUUAGAAAGACCUACCACAAUUCUGACAAUGAAGCAUCCCCUGUAUUUAACAGCUGAAGCAAGACUACAAUCGCCUACCUACUGAAGACCACCAGAAUUCCCAACCACACCAGCAUACAAGGUGCCAGCUGGUAGCAGGC